rnacentral:rRNA from 1 species
CACGUAGGGUGCGAGCGUUGUCCGGAAUUAUUGGGCGUAAAGAGCUUGUAGGCGGUUUGUCGCGUCUGCUGUGAAAAUCCGGGGCUCAACCCCGGACUUGCAGUGGGUACGGGCAGACUAGAGUGUGGUAGGGGAGACUGGAAUUCCUGGUGUAGCGGUGGAAUGCGCAGAUAUCAGGAGGAACACCGAUGGCGAAGGCAGGUCUCUGGGCCACUACUGACGCUGAGAAGCGAAAGCAUGGGGAGCGAACAGG